AUGAGUAGAAUUAUGUCUACCACCAUAGUCAAUAUAACGGAAUGUUCCAUUAAUACCCUGUAUAGUCAACCAGUUUCCCACACUCAACCAUUCAUCUGUUCUCGAUCUCUAUAUUUUUUUCUUUUUCAGAAUAUGACAUAAAAGGAAUCAGAUAGUAUAUAGCCCUCUGGGUCCAACUCUUUCACUUGAAAAAUGCAUUUGCUGGUCAUUCAUAUUGCUACAUGUACUGAUAAUUCCUUUCUUUUUAUUGCAAGAACUACUUCACUAUAUGGAUGUGCCGGAGUUUUCUUUAGGCGCUCCUUAGAUUCCCCUGCUAGGCAAGAUUGUUGAAAAAUAGAAAAAGAAAUCCCUCGUUUUCUCCUUUAAAUUCAGAAUGUACUCUCCUGUUUAAAAAAGGCCCCAACUAGUAGUUCUUGCUCUAUUUUGUUUUCUUGUGAGUAUAUAUAAGGAAGGAAAGAAGACGGAAUGCAUCUAUUUUUUUUGAAAGAAAAUGAUUUUACAAUACUAUGACUAUUAAAGUGUGUAGGUACUUUUACUCCUAUCAUCAUUGAAUUAAAAUAUCCUCAAC